AUCAUCAGAAUGGGGUUGAAGAGGCUGGGGGGAAUGGUCCUAGGAUGCCAGUAGAAGCUAUGGGCUUUGUAAAUAGUAGUGACAGCCCCAAAAGAGAUACUUGGCUUGAGAAUGUAAAUAAUAGAGAGCACUUAAGAACAGAAGCUCAACUCAAGUUUGUAAAUAGUAACAGUGGGGGCCCAAAAGUGGAGAAUCAUUUUGAAGAUGAGGACGAUGAGUUUGAUUAGAGACAAGAAUGAGAGGCUCAGAGGGCUCG
rnacentral:misc_RNA from 1 species